AUGAAGUCGAAGAUGAAAUCAGUGAUGGUAAUGGUGGUGGUGCAGAUUUUAUAUACUGGGAUGAACAUAUUUUAUAAACUAGUGGCUCAAGAGGGCAUGAAUCUCACCAUUCUUGUUGCCUACCGGCUGAUUUUUGCUCCUGCUGCUAUGAUUUCACCCGCCGAGAAAUCUCUGAAAGGUUAAUAUUUUGUUAGAGCACGAAGGAAGAUAAAAAAAAAAUUACUACUUUAGGGGGUUUUUUUAGACUUUACAAAUAGAGGCUUCAAAUCAUGGAUCUUGUACAUCAUUUCCGAACCGAAGAGGUUAUAGUUUUUAGUUUUCAUUUUUUUAACUAGAGUAUAGAGGUAAAAGAGUGAGAAUGGAAAUGAGAAAGAAAGGGAAGAUGAGAGAGGAGGAUGAGAGGAUGAGUCCCAAAAGUGAAAAUAAAAACAAAAACUGAAAUCUAUUUGAAAUAUUGAUUUUCACUUUCAAGUUUUUGUUUUCACUUUUGUUACUCUUCUCUCUCAUCCUCUCCUUCAUCUCCCCUUUCAAUCUCAUCCUCACUCCCGUUCUCAUUCUCAUUUUCCUCUAUAUUCUAGCACAAAUAAUGAAAACUAAAAAAUAAAAUUGCUUAUCAAACGGGCCCAUAGGUUUUUUUUUCCCUGCACAUGCUGCAAUAGAAUUGUAUAAACAUAAUUUGAAUGAAAGAUUACUUGAUUGUCUUCUUCAAAUAGUAGUCAAUUCAUAAGUUAUUCUCACCAGAUUGCAAUUAGAAUUAGAAUUAUUCUCAAUUUAAAGGGACAACACAACAAAACUAACACGGAUGUAUUGUUUCAAGCUUUUCUCUGCGGGCUAUUUGGGUAACUAUAAUUUCUCUUCUUCUUGUUUUUAUGCAAAUUAUUUAAACUUUUGAUCAUGAUUUUUCUGUUUAAUCAAUCAUUAUUAGUGUGAUACAAAAUUCUACAUGGCAUGUGGAAUUCAUAUCUCCAAUAAUUAAGUAAAAAUUAUUUCUUAAUUUUAGGGGUUUACUGUCUCAAAAUUUAUAUAUAGAGAACCUAGCCUUAACAUCUGCAACAUAUGCAGUGGCCAUGUUAAAUCUUGUCCCACCAGUUACCUUUAUCCUGACCGUAAUUUUCAGGUAAUGUCCUUGCAAGGCUCCUGAUUUUGACUGUGCUUAAUCCAUUAAUUUUAUUAUAUAUUUCAGGAUGGAGAAGUUUUCUAUACGAACUAAUGCAGGGAAAACUAAAAUUCUGGGAAUGGUUAUGGGGUUAGGAGGGGCUAUGCUCUUCAGCUUCUACAAGGGCAUAGAGAUUAACAUAUGGUCUACAAAUGUUAAUCUUCUCCAUAAUCAUGGCCAACAAAACAAGGCAUCACACAAAAGUUUUGAGUAUUUUGUCCGGCUUAAUGCUAUUUUUGGGUCGCUGUGUGUCCUAUGCUUUGUGGUUGAUAAUUCAAGUUACUUUUCUUUAUUUCCUUUAA
rnacentral:lncRNA from 1 species